GAUGAAGAACGUAGCGAAAUGCGAUAAGUAAUGUGAAUUCCAGAAUUCAGUGAAUCAUCGAAUCUUUGAACGCACAUUGCGCCCGCCAGUAUUCUGGCGGGCAUGCCUGUCCGAGCGUCAUUUCAACCCUCGAACCCCUCCGGGGGGUCGGCGUUGGGGAUCGGCCCUCCCUUAGCGGGUGGCCGUCUCCGAAAUACAGUGGCGGUCUCGCCGCAGCCUCUCCUGCGCAGUAGUUUGCACACUCGCAUCGGGAGCGCGGCGCGUCCACAGCCGUUAAACACCCAACUUCUGAAAUGUUGACCUCGGAUCAGGUAGGAAUACCCGCUGAACUUAAGCAUAUCAAUAAGCGGAGGA
rnacentral:misc_RNA from 1 species